rnacentral:rRNA from 1 species
UACGUAGGUGGCAAGCGUUGUCCGGAUUUACUGGGCGUAAAGAGCGCGCAGGCGGUCGGAUAAGUCGAAUGUGAAGCCCCGGCUCAACUGGGGAGGGUCAUUCGAUACUGUUCGGCUCGAAGGCAGGAGAGGGAAGUGGAAUUCCCGGUGUAGUGGUGAAAUGCGUAGAGAGUCCGGAGGAACCCCAGAGGCGAAGGCGGCAGCCUGGUUGGCUCCUGACGCUCGGACACGACAGGCAUGGGAGCGAACGGG